AAAUAAUAAUAAUUCAGGGGAUAUAGCAACAUUUUUACC
rnacentral:sRNA from 1 species